rfam:Felis catus isolate Cinnamon breed Abyssinian chromosome E2, whole genome shotgun sequence.
GCCUGGGUGGCCCAGUUGGUUAAGCAUCUGACUUUAGCUCAGGUCAUGAUUUUGCAGUCUGUGGGUUCGAGCCCUGCAUCAGGCU